rnacentral:rRNA from 1 species
CCUACGGGCGGCUGCAGUGGGGAAUAUUGGACAAUGGGCGAAAGCCUGAUCCAGCCAUGCCGCGUGUGUGAAGAAGGCCUUCGGGUUGUAAAGCACUUUCAGUGGGGAAGAAAGCCUUGGGGCUAAUACCCUCGAGGAAGGACAUCACCCACAGAAGAAGCACCGGCUAACUCCGUGCCAGCAGCCGCGGUAAUACGGAGGGUGCGAGCGUUAAUCGGAAUUACUGGGCGUAAAGCGCGCGUAGGCGGUCUGAUAAGCCGGUUGUGAAAGCCCCGGGCUCAACCUGGGAACGGCAUCCGGAACUGUCAGGCUAGAGUGCAGGAGAGGAAGGUAGAAUUCCCGGUGUAGCGGUGAAAUGCGUAGAGAUCGGGAGGAAUACCAGUGGCGAAGGCGGCCUUCUGGACUGACACUGACGCUGAGGUGCGAAAGCGUGGGUAGCAAACAGGAUUAGAUACCGAGUAGUC